AGGCACCCCGGUGUCUCUGGUUUCUUUUUUAAGGAUGAUCUACAGUGAGCAACAGGCCCCUCUUCCCAGAGAGCACACGGGAGGCUGUGCUGGCCUGGGGCCCGGGGCCAGCUGGGGCGUCUUUGAGGCGCUGUCCAUGCGUGGAGCUGAGCUCCGGUCCGGUCUGUCUGAGGCUCCUACCUCCAGAGGAGGAGGAUGAGGGGUGUUCACAGGGAGGAGCAGGAGGAGGGGCUUGAGAUUCAGACUGUGGUGGCAUCACGUAGAGAACUAGGGCUGCUCUGCCCGGCCUCAGGGAGAUGGACACAGGCGGCUCCCACCUCUGAGCUCACCUGUCUGUUGGAGAAGAGGAGCAGAUGGCACAGGGCUGCAGGCGAGGCUGUGAGCACGAAUGAGCUGGUGCCAGCUGAGUUUCCCUCCACCGAGCUGCUCCGGGAAACACCUUGGAUGUGAAAAUCUGGCCUGUGUCCGAGCUCAGAGCCCCAGUCCUGCUGGGUCCGGGAGUGACCUGCCACAGGCGAGGCAGCGGGGCUGCAGCCACAGUGUCUCCGUCCUCUGAGCCGCUGUCUCCUCCUGCCAGGAGCCGGUGACUUCCCAGCCCAGCUGAGGCUCCCGACUCGGGGGGCCACGUCCCCAGCCACGCUUCUCGCAGUCUUCCUUACCCAGCGUUUCACUUCCUGUGACUCUGGUUACUUGAGGUCAGCCUCUCUCUGACAAUACCAGGUGGAAGCCUCCAGAAACACACGAGUGGGGAGACUUGGGCUGCACACCAUUCUGAGAAACUCGACGAGCUCUCAGGUCACCUGGCAGCGUCCGGCCUGUUCCCUGUCCACCGGCCUGUGCCAGGCCCACUGUCACAUAGCCGCAUCAGGUGGGCACCGAGUCACCACACAGCUUCGAGAGACGGUGGUCACACGCAGGGAACAUGCCCACGUCCUUUUAGCUGAGUCCUGUGUCUGUUGCUGACCUCCUAUGGUCUUGGUGGUGCCUGAGAUCUAUCAUGGUGCCCGUGCAUGAAAACAGUUUUUGGGUUGGGCGCCUGCCGAGGGCUUAAGACUCGUAGGUCCAGGCGAGGUGCCGCACCAGGCCACGUGUCAGUUUAAGAAGCCUGGAGCUGAGCAUGGUGGUGCACAGGUGGUGGUGCAAUCCCAGCUCUCUGGAAGACUGAGGCAGGAGGGCCAAAUAUUUCUAGCCCAGCUUGGGCAACUUUCUGACUUAGAGAGACCUUGUCUCAAAAUUUAAAUAAUUUUAAAAGCACAGGGGAUGUAGCUCAGUGUGAAGGCCCUGGUGCCAUUUCCCAUAGCACGCUAAAUAAAUAUAAAUAAAAAACACACCGAGACUCAGCAUGAAGGGACUUCUCUGCAGGGGACCAUCUACCCUCAGCUGGAUUGUGUGGCCUUGAGAGUGGGGCUCGGAGUGGGGCAGGGGCCAGAGGAUGUGGGAAUGGUGGCACUGAUCAGGGUGGGUCCCCUGGCACUGAAGGGUAGGCCUGGAAAGAGCUGACCAUGCCAGGGACCCCAUCUCUGUUGGAAGGGCAGCCACGGUGGACUGAGCUUCAAGGAGGCCUCAGAGCUGGGCCCCUCCAGCCCCUUCCCCUCACGUUUUCUUCCUGACCACAGGUAAAAAGGAGCGCUGAAGCGUCAUGGGCUAGGUUCACUUCCAGAAAGAGGACUGAGAGCCCCAAGGGUGCCCACAAGGUUUGGGGGACACACAGAGGACCAUCUCUGCUGCUCCUCUGCCAGCUGGGACGCAGCUCCAGCCCUAUGUGAGUGACCUGGGGCACAGUGGCCGUACCCCUUCCGCAAAUAGGCAGGGGAAGGUCUUGGCCAUCUGAAAGGGGGAUCCUGUUGCCUGGUGGGGUCGCCCAGGGCCACCUGCUGGGGGGAGGUGACCUCCUGGACAGGGAGCCUCCCUGGCUCCAAGACAGCAGGGUUGCUAUGUCCAGCCUGACCCCAGGGCAGGCCCUGCCUGCCAUCAGGGAGCAGCAGGACAAUGGGAGCCGGACAGAUGUCCAUGCGGCAGCACUGGGCAGCAAUGAGAGGGAACCCCGCCCUGCUGCUCUGUGGGCCACCGUCUGAGGCGUUGCGCUGUCACGGAACCCCAAGUGGGGCCUGUGUGGUUGUGUACCGGUGCAGUGCAGUUGAUGGUGCACAAUGUCCAGCCGGGCGAGAGGUGGGAGGACUAUCCCUCAGCAGCAGCCCGGGAUGUGCCUGGGCCUGCUCUCCUUCUCCACCCUCCUCCCUGCUGAGGACCCUGGCAGGUGACUCAAGCUCUCCUGGCCCCACCACCUCUGCUCAGGCACCAGUGCAGGGUCAGUGCACCAACUAGGAGGCCCUUCAGGUCCUUCUGCGUCUUCUGGGGCUCAGUCCUGCUCCUGAUACCACCUGCAGCCUGUUGGAGGCCAUCUAUUUUGUCACCACACCUGUGGGUCCUCCUGACCAGCAUGGGUUGCCAACAGCGAGUGCCACAGGUCAGAUGCUGCGGCUGAGUGAAGGCUGAGCUCUGCCCAGCCCUGCUAGGUUCUUCAGACAGGAGGUGGCAUCCAGGGCCCUGAGCCCUGCUGAGUGCCUGGCCCUACCCUGGACCCCAAAGGGCCCCCGGCAAGGAAAAAUCUCUGGUCUGAACCCCAGGGUCCAUGGCUGGGGUGUGUGCCAGACAGAAGUGGGCUCUGCAGUCAGGCACAUGAGAAGUCGCACAGCUGCUCGGUCGCUCCUCCUGGGCCACCUCCCUGCCACCUGCUUGGGUGCCAGUGUUCCUGCAACUGCUGACCAGGGCACUGGAAUGGGCUCAGCCACAGCCAGCCCUGGCCCUGUAUGGCCCAGACUGGGGUUUGCUUUUUGUUUGUUUGAUGAAUUCCUCUGAUGUUCAAGAAAGAAAUUAAUUUUACUUGUUCCUCCAAGCGGUCAUUAGAAAAGCUUUUAAUGAACACAGUAAAAACCAACUAAUUAUCCCAAUGGCAUUUUACUCUAAAUAAAAUUGACAGGAACCAUGAAUAUGA